UGGAGGCAGUGGAGGGGUCACCACUGAAGAUUCACGUGUGACUCGGGACCAUGAGCGCACAUCCUUUUGGAAUUUUAUUUCUGGAGUGGCCCUGCUCUGUCCCUGCAGUGCCCUUACAGGUGCCAUCCCUCUGACCUUGUCUUCCCCAGCCAUGCAAACGCAAACGAAGGGCUUUCUCCGUCGAUAGUGAGCACGGAGCAAGCACGGAUUUUCAUGCAUGAAGUUGAGAGAGAAGGAACAAGAAGAAAAACUCUAAGUAGACUCAAAGGCACCGGAUACAGAAGGACACACGGCAGACACACUUCCCUGGUUUCAGGGUUUCUGUUGCUGCAUUGAAACACCACGGCCAAACAGCAAGUUGGGGAGGAAAGGGUUAUUCUACAUACAUUUCCUCAUCGCUAUUCAUCACUGAAGGGAGUCGGGACAGGAACUCAAGCAGAUCAGGAACCUGGAGGCAGAAGCUGUU